CAGUAAGUAGUUUAUAAAAAAUAUUAAUUUUGGAGAUUAAAGAUAAGUAUUAACUUCUUACUGA
rnacentral:tRNA from 1 species